GGGCUGUGCCAUCCACAGGGCUCUCUAGCAGGGGCAGAGUCAACUGCAUAUAAUCCCACUAUCAGAUGCCAAGGACUCUGUUCUUCCAUACCUCUGUACCCUGUGGAGAGGGGUCAACUGCAGUCCUGGACACAUUCCCCAAAGCCUUGUCACUUCAUGGGGCAACAGGAGAACAGCACUCUGGUCACAUACUCAUGAGACGAGAACAGAGCCUCUUACCUCAGUUACGAUGGUGGACGAGAAGGAGCUUCUGUCGUACACCCAGCCAUCC